rnacentral:lncRNA from 1 species
AAUUCCUGUGAUCCGGUACAUACAGAAAAAUAUCAAGAGAAGUUAAAUUUUAAAAUGAUGGACCUUUUCCAAUUAGAUUACUUCUGAUCAAUACAAUGUCUGAUUUUUAUAAGAUGACAACUAAAAUUCAAAUUCGGAUGUCAAAAAGGUUUAAAUAACCCUCCCUCCGAUCUCUUAAAAACAUAUUCAAAAGUAUAUCAUUCUGAAAUUGUACAAUGCAUACAAAUAUUUGAUGCUAAAAACUUCUACAAAGAUAAAGAGAAAAAGAAUAAAGAUCAGGAUUUUCAAGGGCCAUGGCUUAUAACAGCCCAAUACAGCUGUAAAACCUACAUACAGAGUUAGGAUCUAUGUGAUGUUACAUCAGAGUAAAAGAAGAAAAUGUAUUCAAUAUUGUUUUUUAGAAAGUCAUUCUAUUGUAAUUUAUGAUUCUCACAUCCAUUAGUAUUGCAGAAAUGUCACUCUCAAUAAUUUUAUGUUUUAAUCAUAAAAAUGUUAAGCUUAGAAUAAGAUUUUUUUUUCUAACUGGUGGAUUGUUUUCUAUUUCCCCAUGCUAGGGAAAACCUUAGAUUGCUAAUGUUAAUACAUAAGAUAGGAUUGAUAUUACAAUGAAUUCCUAAAACAGCUGAUCUUUGAUUUAAAAUGCUUAUGGUGUUUCUAUAAUUUAGUCCUAAGAGGAAAAAAAUACUCUCUCUCUCUCUCUCUCGUUUUACCAAUUCUUCUACUUGAAUAUAAGUAGAAAGGCAACUGGAAGGGGACUGCAAAAUAUUAAAAGCAAAACCACGCCCUGUUCUCUGAUGUCAUCCUAUGCAUCUUCAUUCCUUGGCUACUCACGUUGUAUACCUGAGCCAGGCAGAUCUUCCUUUGCUGUCUCAAUAAAAGAACAAGAAGAGGUACCUAGUUUUAAAAUAAUGAAUAAAUCUAAGACUUUUAACAAAAAAAACUAGAUUUCCCUGAAGUCAAGAGAUAACCUUGCUUUAAAUAACAGUAUUUUAACUCUAAAAUGAAUAUAUCCAGAUCCCAGAUCUCUCCUUUGCAUGCCAAACUUGCAGUCCCAAAUUCAUAUUCAGCCUCUCAUCUUAAAUGCCUCUUGAAUAUGCCUUGGAAAUAGAGAUCUGAUAAUUCCACCAAUUUAGAGUAAGAACGAAUCUGUUUCUUUCUUAUUUCCCAUCUCAGUAAAUCAUGCCACCACUCAUCCAAUUACAAAAGAUAGAAACUUGAAUUUCCCUUUUGAACAUUACAUUACAUCACCAAGGCACUAGCCCAAUCUGGUUGAAAGGAUACUCUUGAUUUACUCUCUCAAGCAUCGUUCUCAUUAUAUUCCCUUUACAGCUGGUCCUCUCCAUCACCUUCAGUCUGGCCUCUUGCCUUGCACUCCUCUGCAACAGACUUACUAAUGCCAGCAAUUAUUUCUCAAUCCAGGGCCCUCCCCCUUUCUCAUAGAAAUAUAUAAAGGAAGACGUGAAUGGUCAAAUACUCUUGGAUUGGAAGAGAGUACCUGGAGCUAUCUUGCUGGAAAAAUUGAGGCGUUUUCUUUCUCUCAAUGGAGAAUUCCCUGGUAAAUUAGGACCAGUCAGGGGGGCGUUUGUUGGAAAAUCUACAAUAUGCUCUUUGAAUAUGAUUGCAGGGCCUUUCUUCAAGGUGUUUGAUUCAAGUAGCUCUGCCCUGAGUAUUGGCUAGCUGCAAAUUGAGAGAGGGGGGAACAAUUCUCUACUUUGAUGCAUCAUCUCAGGCCUCUUUUUACCAGGUGAAUUUUCUCUUAAUAAAACAAAGAAGAUUUUUGUGGAUUGCCCAUCUCUUUUGACUCUGCAGACUCUGUAACCAAUUUUUGUAUGUUAAUCAGGCCAAUCUGUGGAGUAGGCUUAUACUGCAGCCUGCUUAAUUCACUUUAUUUUUCUUGUAUAAAAACCCUAUGUUGUAGCCACAGCUGGAGCCUGGGUCCAGAACUGCAGAUAGUACAGCUUCCACAGGAGCAAGGGAUGUCUGAGCACAAGUGGCUGAGUUCCGAGUGACUUUAUGAAGCACUUUCUACCUUCCUCUCCGGCAUGAAAACAGGGAUUCUGCACCUGCAUCAUGGACAGUCUGGCAAAAGCCUCUGCUCUGCCUCCGGGGACAAGAAACUAGAGCAAAUAACCGUUUUGAAAUUAAAAAUAAACACUAAAUUGGCCAGGCACAGGGGCUCAUGCCUAUAAUCCCAGCACUUUGGGAGGCUGAGGCAGGUGGAUCACUUGAGGUCAGGAGUUUGAGACCAGAGUGGCCAACAUGGCAAAACCUCAUCUCUACUAAAAAUAUAAAAAUUAGCCGGGCAUGGCGGUGUGCACCUGUAGUGCCAGCUAGUGAGGAGGCUCAGGCAGGAGAAUUGCUUGAACCUAGGAUGCGGAGGUUACAAUGAGUCAAGGUCACACCACUGCACUCCAGCCUGGGCAACAGAGUAAGACUUACACUGAAUAUAAAGAAUAAUUGAAAACUUAUGUAAUUUUUUUUCUUCAAGAGCUCAAAGCUACAUAUGCCUACAUUGCUGCAAUUGUAUGUAUUACUUAUUGAAUUUUCUAAUGCAACUUAAACAUUGAUUUUGGGGGUUUUUAAGUUAUAAAAGCAGGAAAAACAAAAUAAUUUUUUAUUUUUUAAGUACAUGUUUUCAAGUGUAUGUACAAGUCCACUUAUAUUUAGGCCAUACUGUGCAUUACAGUAAGCACACUCUUGCACAAAGAAAUUGAGUGUGUAAACAAUCAUAGCCCAAGGUUUCCCAUUAUUAUGUGAACUUAUUGUUUUGUUUUCCAUAUACUUCCCAGAUUUGCUUAUGCUAUUUCCUCCUAUUGAAAUGAUUUUUUCUUGCUCUUUUCUGAAUAUCCAAAUGUAGUUCAACUCAAAUGCCACCUUCUCUAAUACUUACUCAUCUACCACUGUGGUACUUAGUCUCUUCUUUAAAUGUCAAUAAUUUUUUUUUUUUUUUGCCUAAGAAGAUGCUAUAAUGGAUGCACGUAGAUUUGCUAAAAGUAGAAUAAUUUAUCCUGUCAGAGUUAUUGAUGCUCAACUCUGUCUUUUUGGAAAUUGCAUUUGUUGAAAGUCGGGCAUGCUUAAACCCUGAUUGCAAAUUUUAGAUGUUUUCAAAAGAUUAUGUAAGAGUAGAAAUUGAAGUGUAUCAUCUUCUGUCUUCUAUUUAGCGUUGUUCUGUUCUGCUUCCAAUGAGCAUCGUAAAUGUGAUGACAGAGUAUAAUGAAAUGGUUAUUUGGUUGUUUUGUUAGGUUCCAAAGUUCAGAAUUUUCUAAUCCCAUUAACAAUAAUAAAAAAAUACUCUGCCACUCAAAACCACAAAUAUCUCAAAUAUUUAAGUUUACUAAGCUUAUAAUUAGCAUAAGAAAUAUUUUCUCAUAGAGCUUCAAGAACACAACCAAAUAAUUCUUGAAAUUAUAGAUAAAAAUCUAGUAACAUAGUAUAAAAUAUAACAUUAUCUUUUUAUAAUAUACAAGCAAUAAAUUUUAUUUACAGUGUUAAUUUUAUGAGCAAACUAUUUUAAAAUAUUACCACAUUAUGUAUAAUAAAAACUGUAUUGUGCAUAAUGAAAAAUAAAUAUUGAUGGUUUUACAUAAUAAAUAUUGUUAAAGGAAUGAUUUUUGUUAUCUGAAAUUAUAAGAUUAAAAUUUGUAUACCAAGUUUCACUCAGUCACUGUUUGCUGCCAUAGAAUUUAUAAGAGAAAGUAGAUCCUGGCAAAAUUACCAACAAUCAAUGAUGGAAACUGAAGGGAGAUUGAUUUAAAUCUUCAAUGACAGUUGUACAGAAGUUGAAGAAACACGUCAUCUUUCCAAAGAAGAGUGAGUAGCUUGGUUGGUGGUACCCUAAAAUUAGGGCAUGAUUAAGGUACGUCAUUUCUUUUAGUUCAAUCAAAGUGCUUUGCUGUUUCCAUUUCAGAGAAUUUCUUAUUCUUUUUUUCAAUUUCUCUCUCUUCCUCUUCUUCCUCUCAUUAGUAGAUGUCUUUUAUAAUUGAUGUCAUUUACUGUCCUUUCAUCAAAUGUAUGCCACAUCACUUAGGCGAACCAGCAGACAGGGCACCAAAAUACACAUUAGAGGAGACUGGCUUCCAUGAGACGCUUCGACUGUCUCAUCGGGGCACUUGUAAUAAGCAUCUUGAUUCAAAUAAUAGCUUUCAUCUUCACUCUUUUUAAAUAUAAAAGUAAACCUUGAAGCCCUUUGAAGGUUUAAAUAUUAAGUUAAGUAUAUAACUUGCCCUAUGCCAUAUUGCUUUAAUCAGGGGACUGAGCAUCACAUUUAGAUUUGAUGAGUUUGGGAAAAGUUCUCAAACAUCCAGACCCAUGGACCUUAAGAAUUACUGCAGAAAUCUCCUUCAAUAUAGUUAUAGGGAGCAUUAAUGCUUUUGUGGUACUAAACAUAUUUUUGAGCUUAGAUACAAAUCCUUCUUGUCCUGAACUGAUAGGGUAGGAAUUGUUUAGGUGCUUCAAAUCCAGAUCUUUCAGGGGUUGCCACCUAAACUCAUCUUUAUGAGUAACUCUAGAUAAUAAUACACUUUGGUAUCUUCCAAAGUGCUUAUCUAGGCAUGGAAAAGUUCAGUAAUUAUCAUGAGGACUGUUUGAUAUUCAACAACUCUAGAGGAAAGACACAUCUCCAGUUAAAAAUGAAGGGUGCACAUGGGUUACUCAACAUGUGAGUCAUCAAGAAAUGCAAUACUGUGCAAUGACUGGUGAAUCACAGUCUCUAAAGGAAGCUUUUUGAGAUUUUUACACAGAUGGCUAUGCAAAGCAUAAAUAAGUGUGAGGAGGAAGGGAAAAGAAAGGAGGGAAAAAAUAAAUGUGUGGGAGGACAGGCAACUGCAACUUUCAUUGUUCUUUAUUUUCUUGACCAUUGAACUAACUACUUAGAUAAACCCUACAACUCUUCUCUUCAAUUGCCAUUACAUGUCCACAUAGCCUUUUAAGCUGUGGUCACACCACUGCACUUCAGCCUGGGAAACAGAGUGAGCUCCUGUCUCAAAACAUAAAUAAAUAAAUAAAUAAAUAAAUAAAUAAAUAAAUAAAUUAGAAGCUGAUUAACUUUUACUGUAACCCAUACAGUAGAUGUAUCACUGACCAUGUAAAAUAUAUACAACUCAGAUAACUUUGUGUUGCAAUUGUCUAGACAUUCUGCUGCCCACAGAAUCAGGUCCACACUCCCUUCCAUGGUAUUAAAAGUUGUUCAUAUUCUGAGCCCAGAAAAUUUAGCAGCUUCAAACAUCCUUCUUCUCCCUCUACUCACUUUGUUUUUCAGUGACACCAGUCUAAUAUUUAUGUGCUCUUUUUCUAACAUAUGAAUUGUUAUACCAAGUUGCCCCCCUUAAUAACCCUUUUUUUCUCACGUGCCUUGUCUGUUUCUCUUCACAGAUAAUGUCUACUCAUCUCUUUGGUAGAUAAGAACUAUUCAAACCUUUCCAGAGUGUUUUUGGGGACUUAAUAUUUAAAGAUACGAUACCAUAAAAAGAGAAAAAAAGAUUUAGGGGUUAUCUAGCCCAAUCUUUUCAUUUUGUGGCUAAGGAAACUGAAGCACAAAGAAAGAAUACUGCCCAAAGUCAUACAGUAAUAAAUUAUACAAUCAUGACUAACUAUCUAUGACUUGCCAGUCUCUAUAGGUUCAUAUUCCCUUUCCUGUUCUAUUAGUUUUCAAGUGUUAGUCCUAUUUUUUUUCUAAUACACCACGUCUUUUACUUAUUUAUCUUUAUGUUUCAUCUUUCUCACUAAACUGUAAACUGCAUGAGCCCAGGGACAUUUGUCUAUUUUGCCAUCUGCCAUAUCCCAAGAUCUUAGAACAGUGCCUGGUAUGUAUCAGCUGUUUGUUACCUAUUUACUAAAGGACUGAAUUAGUAUCUAAUGUAAUAUUCUAUGGUGAUAUUUGCAAUUAAGCAAAACAAACAAACAAACAAAAAACCACAGUAAGUUGAUAGAGUAAGUAAGGUACUAUUACCUUACUUACCCUGAGAGGGUAACUUUUGACUAGAGACAUGAAUGAAGUGAGAAAAAUGAGUCAUGGUUCCAACUAAUGGUCAAGCAUUCUAGAUAGAGACAACAGCAUGCGCAAAGGCCCUGAGGCUAUUUCAUAUUUAGCAUGCUCUGCAAAUGGAAAAGAAGCAUUUGUGACAAGAGAAGAGUGAGUGAAAAGAAGAAGAUGGGAAACAAAAUGCGAGAAACAGUUCAGACCAUUCAUAUAAGCUGUGGUGAGGACUUUAGAUUUAAUCAUGUGACUGCCUACCAAGAUGUAGUGUUGAGAGGUAUUGAAGAGAAAGCAUGUAUAAUUCUGUUCUCAAGCUGCUGAUAAAGACAUACCUGAGAUUGGGUAAUUUAUAAAGGAAAGAGGUUUAAUGGACUCACAGUUCCAAACUGUCACUUGAGCACAGGACCCUGGUGGAUGUGAAUGAACACUGCCAACUCAGGCCUUCCCAGCUCAUUAGACGCAGCAAAAAGGGUCAGCCCUUGCCAUCCUGAAAUUUGCGUGAUUUAUUUGAAGAAGAGAAGGAGGAGGAAGGGAGAAAAAAUAUUGAGAAGUUUAAGAACCAGGUAAGCAUUUUAUUUAUUACAAAGAAUAAAGCAUUCAACGCGUUGUCUCACAUAAAAUAAUACAGAAAAAUCCGUUAAGUGUCCUUGCUCUUCAGAAGAAAACAAUGAAUGGAUGCUGAUGUUUUACAACAUUUUGAGAUCAAAUGUAUUUCCUUGUGGCUCUCUGAGAGACAGAAGGGAAGGGCUGGAGAUACUGGCUUUCCAUGGGUACUGGUGUGAUGACACUGAUCUGAAGGCACUGCAAAGUUUUAGAUUCUUGAGUGUACUUGUUAAAUAAAACAAAACAAAAGAGAGAGAAAAAAAUUAGAAUAGGGCAGUAAGUUUGUAUUGUUAUAAUGAAACAUUGUAACACUCUAGGUAUUAUCUCUGCACUGACAUAGAAUAAAAAUAAACUCAUAAGAUGAAUCAAAAAAUGGAACAAGAGCUGAAGCAAUAAUCAUAGUCUUAAAAGUUGGGAAGAGACUUUUUGCCCAACCCAUAAAUUUCACUGAGCCCCUAAAAAAGAGGAAAUAAUUAUUAGAAAUGACUCCAGAUUAUACAUUGACUCCUGGCUCUGUCUUUAUAUUUUUGUGGGCUGAUCCAUAGAAUGGUGUGCUUGUGUGAUUGAUUUUAAGUCAGUAUAAAUUAGUAACUAUCUUUGGGGGAAAGUAUCUGCUAGCUAAAAUUACUUCAAUAAAAAAAAUCCAAGAAUGCUAAAACAUUUUCCCUUAUGAACACUCUAAUUGGCAGUAUCUUAACUGUUAGUAAAAAAUGCUUUUAUUUUUUAAAAUUUUUGGCUGUGAAACAAACUUUCCAUUUGCUGAGUUUUUAAAAUAAAUAUCAAUAUUUACAUUCAUGUGACUAAUUUUUGGAAAAACACAUCCCUAUAGUGUAUACAUCCAAAUGCUGUUUGCCCUUCAGAGUUAAAUGCCUUGAAAGAUGGCACCAUAAGCCAGGGAAUCUGCCACUGAUCACAGUGUUUUUAGGAGUUGCCAUUAAGUCGAACCAUUUAUUUUUUUAACCCCACUCUUCAAAGAUGCUCAAACAAGACAACUUUCCAUCCUUUGAGAAUGAUUCAAGUUUCAAAAAUAGCUUUAGAAACUCUUAAUGUUGCAAAAUAUGGUACAUAUAGUAGUUGAUCAGUUUGGUUGAUCAGCUUGGUUCACAAGAAUUGGAAUUUUAAGACUUAGGUGGAUUUUAAUCUGGGGUCAAUGAAAGACCUCUGAAGGUCAUGUGGCUGAACACAAGCAGAUUAGCUGGAUAUUUGUCCUGAGCACCUAAGACAAUACUAGAAAAGUAAUAAAAUGGGAAAACAUAUAUAUAUAUAUAUAACACAUAUUAUAUAUAAUAUAUAAUGGUUUUUCUUAAGUGGUUUGCCUCUGCAUUUUUAUAUAGGACAUCUGUCAUUAAAUUUGAUCACAGCAGUUUUAAGUUUACCAUUUGUAAUGAUAAUAAUUAUAUAGCAAAAUAAAAUGCUUUCUCAAGUGUCUAUGUUUGGAGUACCUGGAUGGCUUCAAUGUUCAUUUUUUUUUAAUGGUCAAAUAAAUUAUCCUUUCUUUUCCUUGAUCUUUUAAAUCCCAUUUGCCUUUAACUCCCAUUACAGAAACCCAUUGCUGGGACCCGGCUCUUGACCUCAUCAUAACCUUAAAAUAUUUUACCACAUUCGAUAUCUAAUAUCCCACUCUGUCUAUCACUUCUUACCAUUCUAGUUUCUCAUUCUCUUAUCUCCAAGGCAACUGUCCUUUCAAUAUCAGUGUUGCUGAAAAAUAAAAUCACAUCAUCAUAUGGACACAUUAAUACACAUACUCAGGGGCCUCCAAGUGCCUCAGUCCCUCAACUCUGACCCAGCAUUUCUUCUACUCCACUCCCUCAUGUUUAGCCUAAAUGUUUACCUCUUUCCUCAACUGCUCCUUUCCACGAUUCCACUAUGGGAUUAUUAUUUACUUUAUUUAAUUCACACAAUGAUAUGGCUACAUGGUCUCCUUUAAUCCUCACAAGAACCAUUUGAGAAAGGAAAUACUAUUCUAAAGUUGAGCACAAGAUAAUAAAAAUAUGUCUGAUGCCACAGAACUGAUAAGAGUGAUGGCUCUAAGCUAUGUUAUCUACUUUACAUUCAAAUUUUGAGAAUUUAGCUUGUAGUGAAUAACUAUUUCUAAGAAAAGAAGAAUAGUGUAUUCCUUUAAAAACAAUAGCUAAGCUUGACUUCUUUGUCACUGGGAUUUAGGGCAUGAUAAACAUGUGAUCCAAGAACAAAGUUUAUACCCUCAGACUACAUAUUUGGAAACAUGACAUGCCAAUUCAAGUGAUUUAAGUCCUGGUUUUCCUUAUUAAUCAUAGAAAAAAAAUUUCUACAAGUCAGAGGAUUUACCUGCUUUGUUUGCUGCUCUAAGCCUGGCACCAACAACGAUGUCAAACAUACAAUAGGAGCUCAAUAAAUAUUAGUUGAAUGAAUGAGUCAAGAAUGAAUCUACUCAUAAAGCAUAUAAUCCAGUGCUUUAGGUCUGAUGCUGUGAGUCAAAGUUGAGUUGUGGGUGUCUCAGAAAACUACAUACAAAGCAUGGCAUUUAUUUCCACUGGAGUCAUAGCUUUUACUUAUAUAUUUACCAUAUGAGAAUUUACCUACUAUAUUUCUUCCUAUCUAAGAAAUAAUUAAUGGCAAGACAAACCAUCAUUGAAUGAAGUAGUGAAAGAAGAACCUGAUUGAUGCCUCUUUUGUUUAAGGAAACUCCAGAUUGUGUGCUUGGAUAGCUUUGAGUAGUUUGGGGUAGGUGGUAAACUGUGAUACUGUCUUUCUAAGGAAGUCGCUGGUAGGUAGAGCAUAAAAGAAUAAAACAAUCUUAAAGGAAACAGACUCUGAGUAAAGAUGGUCAGUGAACUAAGUAUGAGGGGAAGGACAUUAAAUGAAGAAAAAAAGAUCACUAUUUUUUUGUUAAAGUUUUUUUAAUAGGUCCUUAUCAAGGUAUAUUUUAAAUAAUAUAUGAAAGAAAAAAUAAACUGGUUCUGAGGCUAGGUCAAGGAUUCAGGGAUUGAGAGAUCAGGAAAUCAAAUUUUAUAUAAAUAGAGGACCCAGAACAAAUCAUUAAACGGUCUGUAUGCUCCCCUAGAGGUUUGAGCAGCUGGGCAAUGAAGAGGUGAGCUACAACUCCCAGUGCACACCCUGCGAGGGGGACAAGGGAACUUUUCCUGUUUUAGAAAUACCAAAGCACAAUCAACCCAUCAAACGAAAAAAACAACAACAGCCUAAAAGACAAGGUUGAUGUGGAGGAGAAAAAAAAGAAUUUGGCUUCCUACAAAGCAAUAACAAAUCAUCCACAUAGGAAAGUUACCAUUUCUGCAGAUGGAAAAAUGUGUACCUUGCUUCUCAUAUCAUUGUUUUCAUUUUGCAAGAUAUGAAUUUCUUGAAUAGUGGUAUCACCUACAAUUACUUAAAAAAUUAAAAUAAUUUAGGGCACCUUAGCUUGAUAGCUUUCUAAAGAUAUAAACAAGUUAUUUGGUUUAAUGAGGGGAAAAAAAUUGGUCUAAAGGAAAAUGGACUGACAGCUUUGUUACAUACUAAAAAUCAACCAAUAACUGUCUUUUAAUGUUGUUGGUGAUAGUUGUUUUGUUUUUUAAGCAGGAAACACACAGAUGUACUCUAAAAAUCAUUCUUAGUAGAAGUCUUUAAUAUCAUUUUACUUAUAGAUACUAAGUAUAAAUCUUCCACUUAAUCUGUGUUAAAAUAUGAUAUUCUUUUAUUUGUCAGUUAAUAGUUUGUAAGGACCAGAAAGUAACCAUUUCUAUAAAGCAGUUCUCUAGACAAGGUAAAAUGGUAAACCACCAUUAGAUGCUUUUUCUCCUUCUUCUCUGUCACGUGAUAUUAAAAAAGACUGGCCUGGGCAUGGUGACUCAUGCCUGUAAUCCCAGUAAUUUGGGAGUCCAAGGCUUUCAGAUCACCUGAGGUCAGGAGUUCGAGACCAGUCUGACCAACACGCUACAAUUAACUGUUAGGUGAUAAUAAAUUCACUGUCAAUGGGGACAUUGAUUUAUGUCAUGGGGUCCAUCUAGCAAAGAAGUGGCAUUUAGUUAAAAUAUGAGCUAUGUAAGCAUCUUUCCUGAGCCUGAGAUACCGUGACUUGAUGACCACUAAAAUAUCUGACCAUCCAUGGCUUUGACUCCUUGGAAGGUUUCAGAUUCUAUUAUCAUGCUUCUUCAUGUAAGCAGAAAACAGGUGUUAUAGUGUCUUUCUCUGUGGCUAGUUACUUUAGUUGGUUAUUUUAUGUUUCUAAUUACAUUGAAUUAUUGGGUUCAGGGCAAUGUAUUUAUUACACUGUGAGCAAGUAAGCUUUGUGUUCUACGACCCUAGGGUAAAUCCUUAAAUUCAUCAAGAUUCCUUGAAAUGCAAGUAUGGAUAAAUGAACUCCAAUCCAUUUCCAAUUCUGGGAACCAGACUAAGAUAUAUGCACUAAUAAAGGCACUCUGGUAACUUUAUUUUUUAUUCAAAAAAUAUUAAUCCCUGGGUAGAAACAACUCAUUACAAAAAAAAAAGUGCUACAUUUUGCAGAAGGUCAUUUCAGUUUUAUUAGUCUUAAUGUUGGAUCUCCUUUCCUAAAAUCUGAAAUAAACUUGCAAUUUCUGAA